GAUGAACGCUGGCGGCGUGCCUAAUACAUGCAAGUCGAGCGAACAGACGAGGAGCUUGCUCCUCUGACGUUAGCGGCGGACGGGUGAGUAACACGUGGAUAACCUACCUAUAAGACUGGGAUAACUUCGGGAAACCAGAGCUAAUACCGGAUAAUAUAUUGAACCGCAUGGUUCAAUAGUGAAAGACGGUUUUGCUGUCAUUUAUAGAUGGAUCCGCGCCGCAUUAGCUAGUUGGUAAGGUAACGGCUUACCAAGGCAACGAUGCGUAGCCGACCUGAGAGGGUGAUCGGCCACACUGGAACUGAGACACGGUCCAGACUCCUACGGGAGGCAGCAGUAGGGAAUCUUCCGCAAUGGGCGAAAGCCUGACGGAGCAACGCCGCGUGAGUGAUGAAGGUCUUCGGAUCGUAAAACUCUGUUAUUAGGGAAGAACAAAUGUGUAAGUAACUAUGCACGUCUUGACGGUACCUAAUCAGAAAGCCACGGCUAACUACGUG
rnacentral:rRNA from 1 species